rnacentral:lncRNA from 1 species
GUUUCUUCAUGGAGGGCUUCUUCAUGGAUGGUUCUUCACGGAGAGUUCAUCAGAGAGGGUUCCUCAAGGAAGGUUCUUCAUGGAGGUCUUCUUUGUGGCUCACCCUGACUCUCCUGGACUUGUGCCCAGAGCCAGUUGUGCGUGAGCUACAGCAACAGCUGGGAGCUCAUGGAUGCAAAGCUACCUCUGGAUUUGAUCUGAAGUGCAGUAUGGGUCAGUACCUUCAAAGAGAUUACUAAUUCACUGACCGCACACCGAGAGAAGGCUGCACCCCUGGACUCACCCACUUCGAUUUCCCCCAUGCUACCUGUGAAGCAGGUCUUAGUAUGAAAGGAGCCUGCAAGUCUUUUCUUGAUGUUCACCUGUGGUAGUCUGAUGUUUCUUGGGCAGAUUCCUUUUUAAAAGAAGUGCUCUGCCAACCUUGUUUUGGGCCUCAGGAAACUUGCAGUGAGAUGUGUUGACGUGCCUUUGGAAGCCAGGAUAGGUGUUGUGUAGUGAGGUCCUGCAAUAUUAUGCCAAAUGGGCAGGUUUCCUUUUUAUAGCAUUUAAAAAACUUUUCCCAGAAAUAUCAGCAUCGUACUGUCAUAUUAUAUUUUAUUGCAUACUGUCACACUCACUUAAAAGAAUAUGAAAAGAUUAUAUUUCAAAAUAAUAGGCAUGGGAAGUCACUAGCUUGAAGUUUAACAGUUACAAAUAUUCUUGCAACAUAAAUUAGUCAAUAAAUAUCCAGAUUGAGUGUGCCUGUGAUGUGUAAUGCCAUGGUAACCCUGGAAAGAACUCUAAUUGCAGCAUCCCUGGCCCCCAGGAGGCACCUGAUGAUGUAGCUUGGUAUUUAAAACGUACUCAUCCUGGGAG